rnacentral:rRNA from 1 species
AUUGAACGCUGGCGGCAUGCUUUACACAUGCAAGUCGAACGGUAACAGGGAGCUUGCUCCGCUGACGAGUGGCGAACGGGUGAGUAAUGCGUCGGAACGUGCCGAGUAGUGGGGGAUAACGCAGCGAAAGUUGUGCUAAUACCGCAUACGUACUGAGGUAGAAAGUGGGGGACCUUCGGGCCUCACGCUAUUCGAGCGGCCGACGUCUGAUUAGCUAGUAGGUGAGGUAAAGGCUCACCUAGGCGACGAUCAGUAGCGGGUCUGAGAGGAUGAUCCGCCACACUGGGACUGAGACACGGCCCAGACUCCUACGGGAGGCAGCAGUGGGGAACUUUGGACAAUGGGCGAAAGCCUGAUCCAGCCAUGCCGCGUGCAGGAUGAAGGCCUUCGGGUUGUAAACUGCUUUUGUACGGAACGAAAAGACUCUGGUUAAUACCUGGGGUCCAUGACGGUACCGUAAGAAUAAGCACCGGCUAACUACGUGCCAGCCGCCGCCGUAAUAC